AUUUUGGACAAUGGGGGCAACCCUGAUCCAGCCAUGCCGCGUGCGGGAAGAAGGCCUUCGGGUUGUAAACCGCUUUUAGCCGGGAAGAAAAGGCCAGCCUUAAUAGGGUUGGUUCUUGACGGUACCGGCGGAAUAAGCACCGGCUAACUACGUGCCAGCCGCCGCGGUAAUACGUAGGGUGCGAGCGUUAAUCGGAAUUACUGGGCGUAAAGCGUGCGCAGGCGGUUCGUUAAGUUCGAUGUGAAAGCCCCGGGCUCAACCUGGGAACUGCAUUGGAAACUGGCGAGCUUGAAUGCGGCAGAGGGGGGUGGAAUUCCGCGUGUAGCAGUGAAAUGCGUAGAGAUGCGGAGGAACACCGAUGGCGAAGGCAGCCCCCUGGGCCGACAUUGACGCUCAGGCACGAAAGCGUGGGGAGCAAACAGG
rnacentral:rRNA from 1 species